GAUGAAGAACGUAGCGAAAUGCGAUACGUAAUGUGAAUUGCAGAAUUCAGUGAAUCAUCGAAUCUUUGAACGCAUAUUGCGCUCUCUGGUAUUCCGGAGAGCAUGCUUGUUUGAGUAUCAGUAAACACCUCAACUUCCAUAUCUUUUUUGAAAUGGGAGUUGGACUUGAGUGAUCCCAACGCUUUUCCUCACCGAAAAGUGGCGGGUUACUUGAAAUGCAGGUGCAGCUGGUCUUUUCUCUGAGCUAUAAGCAUAUCUAUUUAGUCUGCCUAAAAAACAGAUUAUUACCUUUGCUGCAGCUAACAUAAAGGAGAUUAGUUCUUGUGCUGACUGAUGCAGGAUUCACAAAGACAGGCUUCGGCCGACUUUGUAAACUCGAUCUCAAAUCAAGUAAGACUACCCGCUGAACUUAAGCAUAUCAAUAAGCGGAGGA
rnacentral:misc_RNA from 1 species